rnacentral:lncRNA from 1 species
NNNNNNNNNNNNNNNNNNNNNNNNNNNNNNNNNGUUUGUUUGUUUGUUUUGUUUGUUUGUUUGUUUGUUUUGUUUUGUUUUAAUCUCUACGGAAAAUUCCUAAAACCCCACAAAUCCACAGGGAAGUGUCAUGGUCUCAAUCCAACGUUUAUUCUCAAAAAAAAAAUAACCCCCUUCUCUUUGUUCUUUUUGUGCCUCCUGGCUCAGGCCUCCUCCUCCAUCAGCUCCAGCUCGGCGUCCUCGAAGCCGUAGAACGACUCGGUCUCGCUCUCUCCCUCGAAGAGCCGGUGGAGGAUUUCGGGAUCCGCCGCCUCCUCGGGAUGGGUCUCCCCCUCCUGGGGCUCGGGGGGUUCCUCCUCCCCCCGGCCCAGCUUGAGCUGCUCCUCCAGCGAGGCGAUGAGCUCCUCCUGCAUGUCCCCGUUGCGCGCCGGCGAGUUGGCCGUGCCGUCGGGGCCGGGCAGGACGCUGGCCACCAGGAAGGAUUGCUGCACCAGCUCCGGCGAGUCCCCGAUGACCUCCAGCGCCUCGGCCAGCCAGCACAAGACCAGCUGCAGGAGGAUGUCCGAGUCGCACGUGGAGUCCUCCGCCAUCUCCUUGGCCUGCUCCUUCCACUUUUUGUGCAAGAAGUUUUUCACGGUCCUCUUGACGCAAACGUCCAGGGGCUGGAUUUUGGAGCUGCAGCCGGCGGGCACCACGGCGGGCAGGGUGCUGGAGGAGCUGAGCACGGCCAGCACCUCCUCGCUCAGGUGGGUCCGGUGGCAGUCCAGCACCAGCAUGCCCUUGCCGCUCUGGCAGGCCACGUGCUCGUGCCACACGCGCGACGCCCACAGCUCCAUGACCUCGUCGUCGCUGUAGCCGCCCUCCCGGGCCUCCAGCAGGAUGGACUCGGGCACGUUGGCGGGCGCCCGCACGUGGCCCCGGUAGAGCACCAGGGCGGGCAGGACGGUGCCGUCGGCCAGGAUGGCCAGCACCACGUCGCACCAGGGCUCGCCGUUGCCCACGGUCUGCAGGGCGUUCUCCUUGCGGUCGUCGCCGCCGCCGCCCAGCACCUCGGCGUCCAGGAACAGGGAGAUCUCGUCCACGGCGGCGAUCAUGGACAGGGGCAGGUCCUGCGUGUGGAUCUGGCGCUGCACGAACUCGAUGAAGGAGCCGGCGCUGUCCUCCACGCCCUUGGGCAGCGGCUGGGCCACGGCCCGGCGCGUGUGGGUGCUCAGGUGGUGCCUCAGCAUGAACCUCACGGCCCACUCGUAGGAGAUCUUGAAGCCCCCUUCCAGCGAGCGCCCGAUCUUGGUGGCCUUCUGGAAGAGGGUCUCCUCGUUGACGGGCAGCUGCUGCUCCCGCUGGGUCAGCACCCACUCCGCCAGCUUCUCCUCGGCCUCCAGGCUCAGGUA